rnacentral:lncRNA from 1 species
AGAGGAGAAAAAUAUUUUUGGCACGAAAAAUGGAGGAGGAAAAUUUCCUCCACCGGCGACGGUGGUGCACUGCCCGAGGUGGCAGUGCCUGACCAUCACGCUGCAUGUGCAUAAGCCUGCUGUUAUGCAUACAAGGGCUAGCCUGCGUGCAAGCCCCAAGCGCACGAGGCCUGUCCGUGUAGGCUUGGUACACGAAUGGCACGCGCACAAUGUGCAGCGCUAGUCCAUGCGCAAUGUGACAUGCAGAUGGCCCGGCUGCGCACGACAGGAUGCACACGCAAGUCCUAACCCCGCACCGUGCGCACUGUGCGCACGUCCCAUCUAUGCUAGCGUGCUGAUGGGACUUGCACGCUAUGCGCACCUCCCGCAGCCACUGUGCGCACAGGCACCCUCACAUAGUG